ensembl:lincRNA
CUGCCCCAGGAGAGAACCGGCUAGGCAGGAGGCAGAGAAAUCGGAGAUGAAAAUGGGUGGAAAGCAAAGAUAACUAACAGUCCCGUUUCUUCAAUGGAUCACUGACAACCGCAGUCUCGGCUGGAGGAGAGGUGAGGCUCACACCCAGCAGUCCUGGACCAUUUCCCUAGCAACGGGAGGAGAAAGGCUGCUUAGACACCCGCGAGCCCCAGCGUUCUCCUGGAAAGUGCCCCGGCUCUGUAGCGUGGCAGCCACUCGGCAUCUUCCCGUGGCUCCGUCAGCAGCCAAAAGGAGAAGGGUCCAUCGGAAAAAUGGCAUAUUACAAAUUUUGCUUUGGGAAGCAGAGCUCGGUUCAGACCAUUGUCAAAGGGAAGAGAGGGGGAGGCGGUUCUUAAAGCAGCCGCGGCCCCUUUGCCGCCCAGCAGAGGCAGCUAGAGCGUGCAGCAGGAGCCCCGGGGCGGAGAGCUGGUAAUCUGGGACUGGAACUGACUUUCAGAAACUUAACCUAGUAGUACCAAGGCUCCCCACGGUCUCCCGGACCACCCAGCGGGUGAAGAAGUGUCCCUUCAAACGCGAAGUUCUUCGGGAUGAAGUAUGGGAAGUACCUAUCUGGAAGGGAAAUUCUACACCCAGAACCCCACCCGGAGCCACUGUGGAGUUUAUGAACAUGAACUUCUUCCAAUCUUAAAACAGUCAAAUGCCUAUGAAGCUAGUGUCUGCCUUGAAAUUUCUCUGCCAUUGAGUGAAUUAAGGUCACAUUUUUUUUUUCAUUUUCAUCUAGGUAUUUCCACCAUGGGUUGUCAUUCUUUAUUUUCACUAAAUGCAGCGAUCAGACAAUGGAAAUAUCUAAACAGUUAAAUAAAUCUAAGUCUUUUGAUACCAUAUAUUUGGGAUCAUAUUAUUUCAACAAUAAGUUUAUGAAAACAGAAUUCAAGGAAAAAUUCUCUCUUCUUCUGAGUAGCAACUAUAAUAACAAUAUUUAAGCUUCAAUCCUGACAGUUAGCCUUGGUGAUUCAUCA